rnacentral:rRNA from 1 species
UACGGGGGGAGCAAACGUUGUUCGGAAUUACUGGGCGUAAAGAGUACGUAGGUGGUUUAUUAAGUCAGAUGUGAAAGCCCCGGGCUUAACCUGGGAACUGCAUUUGAUACUGGUAAACUAGAGUAUGGUAGAGGGGGGUAGAAUUCCUAGUGUAGCGGUGAAAUGCGUAGAUAUUAGGAGGAAUACCAGUGGCGAAGGCGGCCCCCUGGGCCUAUACUGACACUGAGGUACGAAAGCGUGGGUAGCGAACAGG